AAAGUCGUAACAAGGUCUCCGUUGGUGAACCAGCGGAGGGAUCAUUACAGAGUUGCAAAACUCCCAACCCUUUGUGAACGAACCUACCAGUUGCUUCGGUGGAGAGCUCUUCAGGGAGCAGCCCGCCGAAGGUCUACAAACUCUUGUUUUUUUUGGCAUCUCUGAGUAGCUUAUAAAAUAAGUUAAAACUUUCAACAACGGAUCUCUUGGUUCUG
rnacentral:misc_RNA from 1 species